UAACUCAAAGGAAUUGACGGGGGCCCGCACAAGCGGCGGAGCAUGUGGAUUAAUUCGAUGCAACGCGAAGAACCUUACCUGGGCUUGACAUAUACAGGAUUGGGCUAGAGAUAGUUCGUCCCUUGUGGUCUGUAUACAGGUGGUGCAUGGUUGUCGUCAGCUCGUGUCGUGAGAUGUUGGGUUAAGUCCCGCAACGAGCGCAACCCUUGUCUUAUGUUGCCAGCACGUGAUGGUGGGGACUCAUGAGAGACUACCGGGGUCAACUCGGAGGAAG
rnacentral:rRNA from 1 species